rnacentral:lncRNA from 1 species
UGCAUGUAUUGAAGAUGGUGGAAGAUUUGGAAUCCCUCUCUUAGCACACUGGACACUGAUACACCUCUUUUUGUUUGCUGCCUCCCCCUUAAACAUGAUGUAUGCUUGGGCUGGCUGGCUAUCGAAUCAGAGCUUGAGUUCUUCAAGGACUAGGAAGUUAAUGUCCCAUAAUCGACUAACUGAUUCUCAAAUAAAGGUACAGACUUCAAGACUGGGCAUGAUAAACUACACAACCAGAUUCCUGAGGACAACUGCCAUCAUGCAUGUGAUUCCUAUUAAGUUUGUGCUGCUGUUUGUGCAGAAGCAAACAAAAAACUGUAAAAAAAAACAUGCUGGGCUGAGAGACAUGGACAG